rnacentral:lncRNA from 1 species
GGAGGUUGAUUGGCCAUCUCCUCAAGAUUUGGUUCAAAAGUCUCGGGUGGAGUAACUUCUGGAGAAAGAGAUCUUUCACACAAAGGGCAUCUCUUCCUCCUCUCGUAUGGUAGACCUUCAAGCAGAGGUUGUUGAUUUUUCCUGCUUCUAGUGUGUAUUGUCUCCUGCAUGCACAAGGAACACACCCUAAAAGCACUUUUAUAUAAAAUAAAACAAAACGCAAUAAAAGAAAAAUAAAAACAAAAAUAAUUACAAUCAAGUCAAAUUCAAUCAAUUCACACUACUAGACAAAUAAACCUCGAGUCCCCGGCAACGGCGCCAAAAN